CGCGCAGGCGGUCGCAUAAGUCAGUUGUGAAAUCCCAUGGCUCACCCAUGGAACUGCUUCUGACACUGUGUGACUUGAGUCCGGGAGAGGAGAGCGGAAUUCCCAGUGUAGCGGUGGAAUGCGUAGAUAUUGGGAGGAACACCAGUGGCGAAGGCGGCUCUCUGGACCGGAACUGACGCUGAGGCGCGAAAGCUAGGGGAGCAAACAGGAUUAGAUACCCUGGUAGUCC
rnacentral:rRNA from 1 species